CAUCCACCAGAAGGUACUGAGAUGGAGAAGACUGAUGAAGUGAACUUUUGAUACUCGUUUCUUAUGUUGGGCAAUGUGGUUUCUGUGGCCUUGCCAGACCUUUAAAAGUGAUUGCUUUCCUCUCCCACUGCCACUGAUUUUUUUUUAACUGCUCUUCAUUCAUUGAAAUUCGAGGUUGGUCACGUGAGUGUACUUCAGGGUUCCCUCUGGUUAAGAAGAAAUAGAAAUGGUGACCACCAGCUGACUGAAGGUGUGCACUUGCUCCUUGAAAACUUUAAGCUAGUACUGUCUUGUAUGUUUGUUCUGAAGACUCAUCUUUCUUUUGCUGUGCACACUGUUCAGAACUUCAAUUUUGAAGUAUAUUAAGGAGAUGGUAAAAGCUGUCAAUGCUAUAUAUUUGUUUGUGUUAUGUGUCCAUCUCUAGAGCUAUUUAUGAUGAAAACUGUCAAGGGACCUUACAGUGUUUAUUUCAGUGUGAAGUGGUGGAAUAUACAUCAACUUUCUCUUCUUAUCAACUGUUGCUUUCAGUGAAGCUGCUGAUAAUAAUUUAAACACCUCUGAGUAGGACAGGGGUGUGUAAUCUGAAAGACUGCUGGUUUACAUUCUUUCCUUCAGAUUCCUGUCAGAAUUACUUCACUUUCUACCUCCGUGUUAAUUUUAGAAAUACAGAAUGAGGCAAUAUUUUUUAUACAUACACAGUUACGCUUCGAAAACACAAUAUCCUACAAAAACCUUGGCAUCUGUUCUAAGACAGAUGUUUUAACCUUUAUCUUCCUAAAGGAAACAGAGUUGGAAAAAUCUAAAAUAUGUGAUGUUUAUUAAGCACAGCUCAGAGUGGUAUUUAAAACCCAUUAAGAACCCUGUUAGAGAGAAAGUAGAGCAUCCCUUUGAGAGAUUUGGUAAAAGAUGCUGUUGAGGCCUUGGUUCCUGGAGUACUAAGAAAGAAUUACAGCUUUGUGUUUAUUUACACUUACAUCACUCAACAUUAUCUGGAAAAUGCAAAGUAGUGUGCUGUUAGUGUUCAUCCUUGUUUUAUGAUAAAUCACAUCAAAUCUUCAUAAAAAAAUAGCAUGAUCAAGCUGAUAUAGUGGUCACUGCACUUUCAGGAGUAGUCGCUGGCUGAUGAUGCUGGGACUACUAAUGAGCUGAGCAAGCAGGCAUUGUCUUUUUCAUAAGAAAACUGCAGCAGGGAGAGCUUGAUGUUUGUCUUCUCUCCAUGAGCAGUGACUAAAUGUGAGGUGCACUGGAAUCACUGCUGUUCAGUGUAUUAUCCUGAAAUUCACAUUGUGUGAAAUCUUGCCUUACAGGAACUAAUGACAAUGGGACAUAGUCCAGCCAGCUAAAAUGAUUUCUCAAGUGUUUGGAAUCUCAAUUCAUAUUCUUAUUCUGAUAAAUAAUUCUAGCCUUCUGUAUAAAUACCUUUUUAAAAAAUGAUAGGACAAAUUGCUGCACAUCAAAAUCUGCUUAAGAAGGGCUUAGCCCCUUUUCAUACCAGAAGAAAUAGUUUUAAAGUUACAUACAUACAUGAAUAUGUUGAUUUAUUUAUAUUAUAUAUUAUAUAUACACACAUACUUUUAUCGGUACACACAUAAACAUAUAUACUUGUUAUUAUUUAUAAAACUUAUUUUUUAUAGCUAUUGUAAAUACAAUACUUCAAAAAUGAAUUUUAUUAUUAAGUGAAUUAAGUAAUGUGGUUAGCAUAACACACUAAGGUGGGGUGGGUGUGCAUUAACAUUUUGAGUGCAUUAUCUGUGGUAUAAUGCAGACUGCUUACUUUCUGCUAAGUAAGCUGAAGCUUUCAAGAAAGAAGUUUGUUAGUAUCCUAGUGAAGAUUCCCCGUGUAGAAAACUCCAUUGCAAAGCAUAUGCUUACAACAACUAUUUUUGCCUUUUUUUUCUUUCUUUUUAAGAGCAGUGGAGUUCGUGGUCAUUUAGAAUAAAUUCUGGUGUGGCUGCUUUAUUACCUCAGUGCCCAAAUAAGCUUGGGUAAUAGCUGUAUUCUCCUUUCUUGAGGAAUGCUGCUCUUAAUUUGCCUCUCCAAGAACAUUAAAAUAAGAGCUUCUUGGAUGUUAUGAAGCAAUAUCAUUAGGCAAUUAGUAAAAUGUAUGUAUUGGAUUUGUUUAGUCGGGUACUUUUCAGUCUUAUAAGCUGUUAACUGGUGGAGUACAGACAUUUAGUUUUGCUUUUAAAGCCAUGUGUAAUUUAGUUUAUUGCUUAUACUACAUGUGAAAGCACAUACGUGAAUUCAAAUCUCUCCACAAAUUAAUGUUUCUCUAUUUUUUCAGAAGUGAAAUUUUUAAACAAGAUGGUUAACGAUUAUCAUUAAGGUAGUUUGUGAUGAGAACUAAGAGAAUGUGGUGACUGGCAUUGCAGGCAGCAAAAGUAUUCUCAAGGUUUUCAGUGUGAAAGCUUUUUAAAUAAUUACUAGAGUCUCAACAUCUUUUAAAAUGUUAUUGCAAGGGAAUGUUCUGUGAAAUAAGUAUUUAAAAUAAUGACACAAACUUCAUAUGUAUACAGCAUACUGGGUUUCAUUUUCACAACUCAGGGGUUUGUGGGUUUUACAUUAACUUGCUAAGUGGGAUUAUUCACUACAUUACUUUCCUGUCUUUAAGUUGGAACUGGUUACUCCCCUGUUCCGAAUGUCUUUGAGACUUAAGAAGCUUCUUAGGCUCAUUUGAAGAGUCGUUUCAAGGGUCUCUUGGAAAAUGCAUCCUAAUUCUCAAGAAAGGAGGAGAUUAGACAUCAUUAAAGGUUCAGUGGACCAUUCAAAUUUAAUUUGAAUAAUUUCAGGUUAUCCUACCCUUUAUCAGUAAAAUGCUUAAAUAUGCGAAGAAUGACUUGUAAGACAAAUAUGGCUGCAUGCAGCAAAGCAAGAGUUAUCAAAGUCAGAAUUGGAGUGACACUUGCAUUCCUCAAACUUCAAAGAAAAUCUUUUGUCUUCUCUUGUGAUUUACUAACUAUAAAAUCAAUCUGUCUUUCCUAUAUUUUCCCCUUAAUUGCUUACCAGGUUUAAUUAUGAUGCAGUUGAGUUUAAGAAAUCGACCUUGCUUCCUACCUUUUAAGUUAGGAAGUGUGUAAUGGCUGUGUGUAGUUAGGGUAAAUCCUGGAGUGUUGGGAAUGGCUCCUUCCUUUUUAGAAUAUAUAGAAUUUAAGAAUAUCUUUUGAAAUUUAAAUCUAACACUUAAAUAUACAGUGACUGAAAGGUAGCGAAUACAUCUGUCACUGGAGAAAUAGCAUUUUCUAAGGAGGUGUUUCUUCAAAGCAGAUGAAAUAAAAGGAAUAAACAAAGUGACUGAUAACAAAAGGGGCUACAAGCAGAUUGGUCAACAACUCCAUAUAGAAGGUAGCAGUUUAAAAGGCAUUGUAUUGAGAACCUCAUGUGAUAGCCUGAAGUUCACAACUCCAAGCCUUUUGACAGUACCAUGUUUCUGUUCUUUUGUCUGCAUUACAGCCAUGUUUCAGCUACUGAACCUGACCCAGGCAACGAGUCUGCACCUUUUUCUAGUGGGUUUGCUUUUCUUUCAGAAUUAAGUGUGUUGCAGAUAUUCUCUGAAUUUCUCGUCUCACAAAGUUCAGCAAUACAAAUUCAGGUUUUUGCAUAAUGCUUUCUUUGUCUGAUAUAUGGUAAGUGAUACAGUGGCAGUGAGGCUGCAGCUUAUAAACUGAACCCUGCAUAUCACAAAUCAUGCUGAUUGAAUAUAUGAGGGGAAUAAAUAUGUUUUAACUUGCACCCACACACAAUUCCUGAGGAAUUUGAAAACUGCAUUCAGAUAGGUUAUAAAAACAUAAAAUAAGAUGCACUAAUCUUCAUUAAUCGUAUGUCUUGUAACAGAACUUUUUCCUUUUUUUCCCCUUCCGUGUUCCACCAGUUCUUUGCUAUAAAUGACUAGAAAAGGGCGGGCACAGAGGGGAAACAAUACUUGAUGCUAUCCUUUUAACUUUCAUUUCCCUUGAAAUGCUCUGAUUCAUGUAUACUGUAGAACAUGGUGGCAGGAGCAACACGUAUUUCUUGAGUCUUCUUUCUGAAGGGAUGGCAUUCCAUGGCAAGGCUUUCAAAGAGCUCAUGAGAAGAGUGUUGUUGCUCAGCAGCUCCUUGCAGAGAGGGAAGGCAGUGGUCCUGUUCCUAGAUUCCUGGGGGAUCUGAGAGCUGUGGGCUCUGGCUGGAGGAUGCGGCUGUGCCCAGUGCACUCUUGGGGCUAGAAGUAUGAUUCCCAGCUCCAGCCAUCCCUGUUAAAUUUAGACAGUGGUUCUGUUCUGUCCACUAAUUAGAAGGAGCUGAGAUAGGUGAGUUGUAGCUAUUGCCCAUGGUGGGAGGAAAGGCUUCAGCAGCCUGGGCUACUGAAGCAUGGCUGUGGUUAGGGUGCACACGUUUGAUGCAUCUGAAAUGGCAAGCUCACUGUUACUGGUUGUAAGGAAGAUGUUCAUAUUCAGUGACACUGAAUGUUUUGGGGGGUUCUUUUCUGUGGAGGAAGAGAAUUCGAGAGCUCUUCAGCAGGGUUACGAGGGCUUUAUUUUCACCCUGCACAGUGUUAACUGGUAGUCUCUGGGGCAGGAUUUUCUGUAUGGACUAGUUUGUUCUUCUGAGGAAUUAAUAUGGGGUUCUGUAUGCUGAAGUGCUGGAGUAGACCUGUUUUGUUCUGUAUAAAAGGAGCCCAUGUAUUCCCGAGAAUACUUUGAACACAGGCUCAAACACCAAGUUUGCACAGGAGACCGUCACCCUUAUUAGCCAAACACUUCUUGAAAGAGAAGAGUUAAGAUUGUUUGCUGUCCCCUUCCCCCCUUCAGCGGAGGUUAGAAAUACCCUUAUCUUCAAAGCUUGGCGUGGAUUUGAGAUGAACUCUCUGAAGGGCCCUGCUUCCAUCUGCACUCUGGAACACCUGCAUUCCUAACAUUACUGCCAAUCACUCGGUGCUGCAGUAGUAAAACUGUGAAGGUUGCAAACCUGUGUUAUUUAUUUUUAAUACGUUUUGAAUUAAAUAAUUUAUUUUAAACAACAUUUUGUUAAAAAUACUAUAAACACUGAUCCAGGGCAGUCUGCCUGAAAAUAAGAGGCUAUAAAUAAAGUGUGUGAUUUUAUUAUUUUUUUUAAGAGAAAAAAUGUUUCUUAGCCUAGAGUCUGUAGUUAUUUUUUAGGACCUUUUCAUGUACUGGCAACUAAAUACCAGUGAAGGAAGGGACAGGGGCUACAGUGAGUUCAGGACAAGCCUGUGGACUGAAUGUAGCCCCUGGUGACAUUGAGGACUGUGGCUGUUCAAACAGGAGAACCUGAAAGACACAAGCCCUGCUGUCCUCUUGGCUGCCAGUGUGUCUGGCCCUGGUCUGCAGAAUUUUGGAUGCUUCCCACUAACCUUACAAGUGACUAAACUAGUGUGUGUGGCCCUUGAGAGGAGAAAACAUCGCUCAUUUCUGCAGGUGCACUUAUCUAGCUAGGUAUACAGACAUAACUGAAUCUCUUUGGUGGCUUCUUGGAAUGGAGCGUGAGGUGACUGAAAGUAUAUGUUGGUUUAAGAGGUUUGAUUUUUGAGGUAGCAAAUGAAGGUGCUGUGCAGAGUGAAUGUAGGAGUAAAGGUCCUUGAGAGCGUCCUGCAGUGGGCAAGCUGCUAAAACACUGUAGUGAAGUGUGAAGUUCUUGCUUGAAAUGCACAUAUAUUGAAUAAAAGUCCUUAUGAACUGCUUGUGCUGGCUGUUGCAUGGAAUUGUUGGCAUGUCCGUUUUUUUGGUCAUUCAUCAGUGUACAUUUAGUAGAAAUGCUUUUUUCUGCAGCGCUGGUGCCAGGUGCAGUGAUCACAGUAUGGUUUUGGAGAAGCUUGUUCCAAGCUGUGCUCGUGGAAUGCCUUUGGCCAUCCUACUGCAGGACAGCUUAAAUAGCUCUUUGCUUUGCAGCACUGAGGAACUGGAGUCCCUGUCGCUUCUGUCAGACCUUUGCUAACAGCAUGGAUGCACUGAAUGUCUGUAGAACAAAGAAGCUUUCCUGCUUUAAUCCUUUAAAGUCAACUCACUUUUUCUUUCUUAUGACCAGUUUGAUUUUAAGGAAGCAGAAAUUUAACAAAAGCUUGCCGAACAGAAUUAGUCUUCAUGUGUUUAAUGAAGUGUAGUUUACUACAGCUGCCUCCUUAAGCCAGUUUGUUUUGUCUACCAUUCGGAGUACUACCCUGUGAAGAAAUCCAACACUUUGCAGUUUCCUGUUGUUCAUUUUGUUUAACUUUGGCUAUGAAUUACGUUUGGCUCUAUUACAAAGCUUUCAGAAGAUAAUCAGAAGAAAACAAGAGUCAGGAAGAAAUAAUACACACUUGUUUUGAUUCUAUAAAUCUGCUUUACUGCCAGCUCACUGGGCAUAGCAUAGGAGACAAGAGGAUCCCAAAGAGUGAUGCUGUUUCUGGUUGGCAGUGCACAGUGGCUAAUUAGGUACGUUUAGUCUAGAGCACUUUACCCAGCUGCCACUGACUCCUCCAAAUCAGCAAAGAAAGAUCUUUAUUUUAUAUUUUCAUUGCCCGUUUUUCUUCAGCCCUCUUGUAAAUUUUCAUACCUUUGGUAUGUCACCUUAUUAUUGAUUGAUUUGUUAAAAUCAUGUUCAAAAUUCCAGUACGUAUUACUGAAUUCAUGAAGGAGAAAUUCUAUGGAUAUGCUUUCUUAUUCUUUGGUACACAGUUCAGUAAAAGCAGAUUUGUUCAUUUCAAAGCCAAUGCAUUUGAGUAGUAACUUUUUUAACAAUUUCAUUACUAUUUAGUAGAACUUUGUGGACUAUCUUGCAUGACUAAUGCAUGUUGCUUCAUGAGAUAGUAUAACAUGAAAUGGGAAUGGCUGUCUUGGAUUUGUGGACUUCAAAGUUGUCUUCCUAUGACUCAUCCUUUUCAGAUCUUGUCAAUAUUCAAUCCUACUGCAAAUCCUGUUUGUGCAAAACUGCAGAGUCCACUAUUUAAGGAUAAUCCUGUUAAUGCAGAAAACUGUGAUUAACUGUCAUUCACAUAUUAUAAGCAGCGUCUGUUUUUCUUAUCAGAAGGGCAGCUAUAGUUACUAAUUACUCCAUAGAGAGGGUUUUGUGGUUUCCUGUUAAAACAUGAAAGUCAAGUUUUCCCCUUUCCCAAGGUUUGGGGAAGGAGUUGGGCAAAAUAAAAUCAGUCCUAAUCUUGAUAGUUGCUAGCAUGCAUCAGUGAUACGUAAACAUACAUUUUCCAUGUGUAUAUAGUAAUUAUAGCUUAUUGCUGUUGUUUCACUUUAAUUUUCAGAGUUAACUGCAUUGUUCUUCUCUGGUUUUGUCAUGGCACAUCUUAUAAAUGAAGGAUUUGUGACUUCUAUUUUAUAAAAGCUUGAACCAAGGUUUCUGCGAGGUUUUGUGUUACAUGGGUAAAAACACAGAGCACUCUAAAGUUCAAGGUUAAGGUGCUUUCCCCUUCAGCUUGCUUUAAUGUUGUGGGCUGGGUCUUUCAGGCCCUGCAUUUCCCUUUGCAUGCCCCUAUAGAUGGCUGAGGCCUCUCUGGCUAGAAGCUAUGCCCUCCAGCAUGUCCACACUUCUUUCCUUUUUGUCUUUGGACUAGUUUGGGAUGCACUGCUUCUUUCUGCCUAGGUUAUUGGUGAAAAUACUCCACCACUAUCAAUCCUGAAUAGAAUUUCUUUGCUAGCCUCUACCUUUUGAUCCUGAAGGCCCAGUCAGUUUUUUCACCUUCCUUGUUAUCCGCUCAUCCAGCAUCUCCUCAUCUUGACCACAAGGAGAAGUGCCAUGGUCUUCUGUGUUGGCAAGUGUUGAGAGCCUUGCCAUAGCUCAGGCAAAAGAACUGGGCUGCUGUCUGUUUGUUUUUAGAGCCCACAUUUUGUCAGAGAAGACAUUGCUCAAGAGCAGUGUCGCCUUAGGAUGUGGUUGCUCCUGUAAGUUGCUGCUGCCUUGUAUCUGGGAACAGUUUCUGUUAGGACCAUUUCUGUUGGUUUCCUGGGAGUGGGGCAGAGGCUGACAGUAAUUCUGUGGAUCCUCCUAGCUGCCUUAUUUCUGUUUUUGGUUUUGGUACAACAUUCUUGGUAUAUUUCUUGUGUUUCUGUCCACAGCUGAAGUUUGACCUGAUAUUUUCAAAUGGUCUCCACAGUGAUACCUGUGCUUUGCUCCUGAGUAUGCCUCAGUGCUUAUUUCAGAUGCAGUUUUAUCAGUUGAAAUUGUGAACUCUAUUCUCAGCUUCUCAUAUUUUCUUUUGUUGUUGGCUUUAUAUUUUAUUCUUUUAGAGUUGACUGUUCCAGUUAAUGUUUUUUUUUGCUGUUCCCCUUCUAUCCUGCUGUCUAAAAUCACUAAUGCACUGGUAACAGUGGUUCCAGUACUGUUUCUUGUUUUAUUUCUUAAUUUAAAUGGUAGUAAUAAUAAAAAUACUUACCCUUCAUUUUCUAAUUCUUACCAGUUAUUAACCCUUAAGGAAACCAUUUCUGACCUGAGGCACUCCUUUAUAAAUGUCAUCUAAAGUAUUAAAAAAAUGUUUCUAUAGAAAGUCUGUUAAAGCAAAAGUAUAUUCAAAGCAAUUCUCUCAUUUAUGUGCAAGCUUCUUCUGCAGAUAUAAAUUUUCGUGUAUGAUUUCAUUGGCCUUUGCGGUACUGAGUGCAGUUUUUAACGUUAAGCUCAUGAAUAAGUGUUGUCAGAGCUGAGAUUGUAAAUAAUACAGGGAGAGAUGUGCCUCAUUGAUGUGGUUUUUUGUUUGUUUAUUUUGAGGGAUUUUGUAAAUUUACAGUCCACAUAACUAACAAUUAAAGUUGCCAUUAACAUACCAACGUGUUGCAACAUUGUUUUCUUAUUUCAGAAUGAUGAAAAUUAAGAGCACAGAAUAAUCUUCAAAGAACAAAAACUUACACUGAACUUUGCUCAUGCUGGCUUAAGAGAAAUAAGACCUGCAAGUGAGAAUCCCCUACUAAAUGCCAGACUUCCCCCAGCUGCUGCAUGCCUUCAUCUUAAUUUACUUCAGUACCUUUCAAAGACAUUGUUGGAUGUUUUAUAUAAGAGAAACAUUUCUAGCAAUGUUGGAUAUUUUAGGACCAACUGUUUUUUGUCUGUGUUUUGGUCACAUUAUAGUCAUUAUCUUAUACUGGAGACAUUACAUUGCUGAUUUGCUUCUAAAGAUUCUGAUGUUUGACUGCUGUUGAAAGCGAUCUGUUCCAUGUACAAGUGGCAGCUUUUGGAGAUGGCAGCUCUGUUUGUGCAGCCUUCUGGAGACCAUGUGUUAGAGGAGAUUUUCAUGUUGUCCAGAUAGCUGGCUAAUUCUGAUCAGGACUGUUAGCCUAUGUUGUUCUAUAAAUGUCUGCCCCCAAAGGGUACUUACAAACUUGUGAUUUUUUCUGACUUGCAAGCUCAGAUUAGUUGCUCCAGUCUGCUUAAUCUUGGAAGCUUCAGCUGCUGUGGAGUGAAUGCCAGCCUGCCUGCUGAUGAACACAUCUGCUACGUUUUAUCUGUUUUGUAAUCCAAAUGUUUUUGAGACCAUCUCUGUCCAUAUACAGUCAAUUUAGUUGUGCCAUUAGGGUUUGAGUACAGAUGGCAAGUGUGCUCAUAAUAACUUCCCUGACUGUAAGUUGGAUUCUAUGAAACAAAACUGACUCUUUCCAUUUGUGAGCCAUGCAAACAUGAGUUUUAUUUUUAUUAUUUUUGUUAGACUUAUGAUGGAAUUAGGACAGAUGUAGUCUCAAAAAGGUUUUGCUCUGAAGAUUUUUUUUUUUAAACUUUGAAAAUGCUGCUAAUUCAGUUGCUCUGAUACCUCCUGAAGAGCACAUCAUGGUAGACUUAUUCAGUAUGUAUAAUGUGUUAUUCUGAGAGCAGACCCCAGGGAGGUGGCAGAAGCUCUCUCCUAGUGUGUCAGAUUUUGAGAGUUGUAAGUUGCAAGAACAAUUACAGAAAUCAGAGACCUCAGAAAUAGUGAGAAUAAAUACUGGGAUAGCAUUUAGACUGGAUAAGCUCUCAGAUAUUUUAUACAGAUUUAUUUAAAGUGUGUUUACAUAUAAUGCUAUCAAAAUUAUGAGUAUUUACAUAUAAUCUGACAGGAAAAAAAGAAGGUAACAGCACGAUGUUAGUCCUACAAAGUUACCACUGCCAGGGAGUAGAAACUGCAGCAGUGCAUAAGAGGGGAACAGUAUACAAUAAUUAAUCUCGUAAGUUUAAGAGCUUGUCUGCUAGGAAGUGUUUUAAAAAGAUCUCUUUAUCAGAUAAUAAAGCAAACAAGAGAAAUGACAUUUGUUGUAAGAAACAUCUACAGCAAAUAAUUUGCCCCUAGUGACACAUUAGUUAACACUAUAAGUGCCAUUAUAAUUGACUGAGUAUCACUUCUUUUGUUUGAUCAUGAAGCAGUAAUUAUGUAUAAUACAAGCUUCAGCAUAGAAGUGAUUGAUUAUAUGUCUUUUAUAGAGGAAAAAAGAAGUAAAAACAAAAUAGUUAAUUAUGAUGUGAUCUUCUCAUAGUUUGUGCAGCUUUAGUAAGAGAAUGAAGACAGCUGCAAGAGUAGGCUUUACAGUUUAGUUGUCAGCUUCCUAACUGCAUGAACAUUACCCUGUCCUUCUGUAGGCUUCACUGUGUACCAAAAUCUUUCGUCUUUCUCCCCAAAAUGCACGUACAGCACCUUCUUGUUUGGUGCAGAAAUGCCUAGAAAUUAAAAGAAAAAGAAAUUAAAUGACUAAGUAUUCAGACUCAGUAAACACUCAUGCACAUGAAUAAUAACUGAAUAAUCUUGAUAGCAUAAGUCAGUUGUGCUGCUGUUACUGCAACUCUCAAACUUUAUUCCUGUGUGUUUUCAGAUUCAUCAGACAUAGCAAUUGUUAUGCAGAAAGAGGAAAGGUGAACUUGUAGGGGAAAUGUCUAAAAACGCAUUUCUGAAAUGAAGACGUAAUGAAUAAGCUUUGGAGUGCUGUUAUGAGCCAUAGUUUGGAGUUGUUUAUAAGUGAAGCCUUUUUGAUCUAUAUUCUGCUGUUGUCUAGAUUUUUAUCUUAAUAUAGAGAUAAAAGUAGCUAAAUGAAUCGGCUAUAAGAAUGGAAAGCCACAUAGGGUUGGUUUUUCUUUGUUUUGUUUGUUUUUUUUAUUAUUUUGGAAAAUAGGGUUAAUCUGCAGGAGAUAAGAUGGUAGAACUCUCUUCACUUGCAUAACUUGGUCAAAGAUAAAUGGUCUUUGACCUCUACCCUGAAAUGAGCAUAUCUGGGAUUUUCCACAUAAAUGACAGAAUCAUUUCUGCUGGUGGCUUCUUCUUCCAUCAUCCCAAGGACUCUGGUCUUGGGAACAAAUGUGAUGGCUAAUAAUUAAAAUUUGGCAAAUUUGUAGGAAGUUGUUAAGAGGACUCCACAGUGGUUUUUGAGAUGAAAUUACUUAAUUGUAGUUGGAUUUUGUUCCUUUUUUCCUUACAUAGCAAUAGAAAUAUGACAGUUAAAGUACCACUUCACGUUUGGUGUGAGGGUGUGUGGGUGGAUGGAAGAAUCUGAAUAAUUUUUUACUAUCUGGAUGUAAACUGUCAAAUAUACUAGGUUUAACAGGACCAUUUCCUAAUCUGUUAUCAGUUCACUUUCUAAUUCAGUGUUGGCCAAAUACCAUUUUUCAUAUUUAACAUGGACACAAACUUUGAUGUUUAAUACUUCUGAUUCUCAAGUCUGAUAUUUACCUGGUAAUUUUUUUCUAUAAACUACUUAAUAAGUGUAUUACAGGUUUAGGUAAGACUUUGAAGAGGCUUAGAGUUGAUCAACUCUUACGUAGUGCAGUUAUGCAGGGAUAAAAAUGAAAAAAUGCAGUGAAGCAUGAAACUCAUAGGAAAAACCACCAAAAUGAUGCACAAAAUAGUACAUUUUUGUCAUUAAAUAAAUAACUGGAUAACCAGCUGGUACUGAAAUUUUGGUCAAGAACUGAGUUUGGCUGGGAAUUGCUUUUGACUGUUGUUAAUAAGGCAUAGCAACUGACUUUUUUCUUUUUUUUCCUAGUGAACUGAUCUUAUAGACAUUGACGGUAUAAGCAUUUUCUCUGUAUGAGUAAAAGCACUGGAGGCUUAGAUAGAAGCACAUUUGCCGCUGUUUUACAUAACAUUUGGAUUAUUUCCACUUUAUCAUCUGUAAUGUAAAUGGAAUAAAAAGGCAAGAGCAGAUGAGAAGGAUUCCAGUAGAUUGUGUCAUCAAAUGACUAUGGCUAAUUUAAACUUUCGGUAUUAAUAAUGAAACAGGUCUUGGAAUUUAUUUUUCUAAUAAUAAUAACAAUAAAAGAUUGCAACAACUCUGUUCCCUCUUGCCUCAGUCCCCCUGCCCUCUUUUUUUUUUUUUCCUUCCCUUUCCCAAAACUGAAAAAAGGAGGAUGAAUUUCUGGUAUUUUGAUGGUAAGAUAGACUUUAAUGCUGAACUGUUUAGUACACAUGGAAGAGCAAUUUUAUGAGUGUUCUUUAGUUUUGGAGGUCACUAAGUGUUUUAGGUUAACAUUUUGAUUUGACUUAACAACAAUAUCUUACACCUUUGAUAGAACUGAAUUUAUGUGAACAAUCUAAGUCUAGUCUUUUAGCCCAGAGUGGAUGGUAAUAUGAGCCUACUGAAGAGAUAAUUACAUGCUCCGUUGGGAAAAGCGGAUGCCUAUCAUCAGCUUUCAGGAUUUAUCUCUGUGAGUAGAUAGGCACAGCAAGUAUUUAUCACUAGUUGCUUUUUUCAUUUGUAUUUACACAGAAUGUCUGUAAACCUCUUAUUCUAACUCCUGAUUUUUAAUGUGGAGAUACAACUGACUUGAAACCAGAAUACGAAUAAAUGCUAUUAAAAUGAAGUUUAUAACAGAGGAAGUGGGUUUUUCUCUCCUCUUCUUACACUAACUGUAAGUAUUAAUGCUGUAAAAGAUGGAUUGAACAAGUCCCUGCAGUAUUUAACUGUGAAGUGCUGAUAAGUAUUGGGAUUGCUCAAUAUUUCUGUGGCUUUAUUUUCCAGUAGAACUACUGGGAAGGGAAUUACAAGAACAGGAAAUCCUAAUGGUAAAUAUGAAAUGACUCUGAAUCUGGGAAUACUGUUGUGCUGAAUGACUUGGGGCUGAGCUGCAAGAAGUCCAGAUUUGCUGGCUUCUUGCUCCUGGCGAUGAAUGGGGAUCUGGUCCUGUACCAAGGGUCAGCAGCUGGGGAAAUAGUGCAUGUGUCUGAGAGUGGGUGUUUUUGUUAUCAGUGUGAAUUUUAACGGCUAUUGCAAGGAAAGCAAGUGAUUCUGUAAAUGGAUAAAGCAGGCUUACUGUAGUCUGCAGGAUGUACUAGCAAACAGAAUGAAACCCAAUUUUCUGACUGUUGGGGGUUGGAGGGAGUUAUAUAUGAAAAGUUGCCAAAAUAAAGAAAGAAAACUGUGCUUCCAGCCUCUUUAUUAAUCUAUACUAUUUUUACUUUACAAAGGUUACUUUGUUUCAAUUCAGUUUUCGCCUAACUUUUUCCUAGAUUAGUCUCUAGAAGUAGAAAGGAUAAUAAGCAACUCUGGACAAAGUGCAAACACAGACCCUUGUGGAAACUUUCAGUCCUUGUGGAAAAUCUCCCACAGUAUCCUAUCAAUACAGCAGAUGUCUGAAAUAUCCUUGGAUAUCUUCAUUUAUGGAACUGAGCUUGGCAAGGGAUAUGAAAAAUAACAAGGGGAUUCUACAGGUAUUUGAAAAUUCAUGGCUGUCAGGCAGAAUCCCCAGUGACUGGAAAAAGGAAAACAUCACUCCCAUUAAGAAAGGGAGAAAGGAAGGAUUGUGAAAGUACAGGCUGGUGAGUCUCACCUCUGUGCCUGAGAAGCAGAGCAGAUCCUCCUGGAAGCUAUAUUAAGGCACGUGUGAUAUAGAGAGGUGAUCUGAGACACUCAGCACAGCUUCAUCAAGGGCGGAUUGUGCCCCACCAAUCUGGUGGCCUCCUGUGAUGGAGUGACAGCAUCUGUGGACAAACGAAGAGCAACUGUUGUUGUCUACGUGGACUUGUAACAAGGCCUUUGACGUGGUCUCACACCACAUCUUUAUCCCUGCAUUGGAGAGUUAUGGAUUUGAAGGCUGGACUAUUCAGUGGAUAAAUAAUUGAUUGGAUGGUUGCAGCUAGAGAUUUGUGGUCAAAGGCUCUAUGUUCAGGCGAAGGCUGCUGACGAUUACUUUCAACAUGACUUAGCAUUUUUUAUUUCAUUUAUGCCUCUUACAUUUGAUAUAUCUAACAUCAAUGUCUUAAAAUGAGCAGAUUUUCAUUUUUAUUAGCUUUAGAUCUGCAGCUUGUCUCCAAAGGUAUCAGAAGCAGUUUCUUCUCUCCUGUUCUAUUACGUGAGAAGGCUUCCAGAGGCAAUCUGCAUUCCCAUGAGCUGAGAAUGUACUCUUUAGCCUUCAUCAGAUUUGGCCAAUUUCAAAUUGAGAUAAUAAUGUGAUAGUGGUGUUGUUCUUUUUAAUUCUCACUUGUGCUAUGAACUCCUUGUAUCUUACAAGUAGAUAUGAAAUUACUCCUGGAAGAGCACUUAGCAAUAAUUAGAUAUGCCAUAAAAACUGAAAAGAGUAGGAGGAAGUCCAAUGCUAGAAGUCUUCUUCUUGUCCAUCACAGAAUGAAAAAACUUGUACAUCUGUAAGCCUUGUAAAACACAAAAAUUUUACAGACUACAGAGUUACUUCUGAACUGUGAAGUAACAAAUAUUAAUUGAUGGAAGAUCUUAAAGAUUAGUUCAUCAAUUCUUCAGUAAAUUCCUGUAUAUGAAUGCAUGUGGUUUGUCUGUGCAACAGUUAAUGCCGUGGAUUUUCCAGGGAUUUAGAGCCGAACGCUACACGGUGCGGGAAGCAUGACAAUCUCAAUAUGAGUACGCAAGCUUCAACUUUAAUGGAGUACUUCACAACAUAUAUAGAAACUGAGUUACACCUGGCAAACUGCCAUUGGUGGGGCUACCCCAGCCCCAUCCUCUGGUUGGUGAUUACAACUUGUUGAACAAACAAAGCCAAACAGCAACCACCCCCCCUGUGCCCAACAGUUAACCUCCUGAUACUUCUGUCCUUGGGCUCCGCCCCACCCAAGGACCCCUAGGCCCUGCCGACCGUCCACCCAGAACUACUCCAUACACACACUCUGCAGUACUUCCUUGCUCGUACAGUCACUCAAGUGAUCCGUGGCCACUCUAAUCCUGCAAAAAUUCCCCCUCUUUCUUUUUGUACGAGCAAGGCUGACUGCGUAAGCCGUCUUACCCCACGCACCCGCUGUAACCCCUCUUUGAUUAAAGUAGUUAGCCAGGGGGACAGGCCCCCGAACAGUCCCCGUAGCCAACUGUCAGAUGGAUUAAUGUUCUGAGGAUCAUGUAGAGUCUGGAGAUCCGUGUAGAGGAUGAGUUAUCAUCAGGAUGGAUGUGUAUAGUAAAGAAGGUCCCCAUCAAUUGCAUGAAGCAGCUGGUAUUUUCCAGAUUUUUUUCCAUAUCGAUGGGCUAGUGGAUGGCUUUAUACGUCCGUUCUCCAGCUGUUCCUGGACCAACAUGGACGCUUGCUGCAGGUUUUCCCUCUUUAACAGCCACAGCUCAAUCCAUACUGGCGUGUCGAUGAGCCUGUAUUCGAGGAGACAGCUGCAGGCUUGGUAAGCGUUGUAUCUACUACAGUUGCCAGGUCCAGGCCAAUACUUCCUCUGGUGGCGGGGCAGAGGGAACAGUUGGCUGAGGCUCCAUCGUUGGGAUUGGAGCAGGUUGGGAUGUCACAAGAGGUUGAUGGUGCACACCGGCUGCGGGCUCAGUGCAGGGGCUGCUACUGUUGUCAUUGCUCAACAGCCCUUCACACUUGAAUCCCCGUUUCCCACCGUUCAGCAAACAGAUGUGUCGUUGGUCGCGGAGUUGCAGCACUGGCACCAUACACUAACCCUACAGCCAUUUCUAACAUGGCCCUCCCUCUGCAUAAAUCCCCGACCCCUUGGACAGCCCUCCCCUCUGGAAUCCCUGGCCGGGGACAGCAGGACCAAGGCAGCAAACACCUGGGUUUGUGCUUGCAGCAACUUAUCGCCCAGCUCUUGCACAGCUUCUACCAAGAAUGCUGAUGGUCCCACUGGCACAUGACUCAUACGCUCUAACAUCAUUUCAAUAGUGGCAUCCAUAGGCAAGGUGACCAAUAUGGCUUUCGUGGCGGCAUUGCAAUUUUGCAUGGCACAUUGGCAGAGUAAUGCCCCUUUCAUCCAAUCGGGGACGUCACCUUGGUUAAUUGCCUCCGUUACCUUGUCUAUAAAGCUGGCGAAAGAUUCCUCUCUUCCUUGUUUCAACGACAUAUAUGAUGGAGUGGGGGCAGUUGUCUUAACCAUUCCUAUUGCCCGCAUUGCUAAUUGCAUACUUUCGACACGCACCUCCAGCCCCAUUUGAACUUGCAUGGCUGGGGUGGCAAACAACCCUGUCCCCAUUAGUUGUUGCGUGGUUACCCCGAACAACGGGUCUGUCUGGGGACGUGGCGCGUUAGCGCUCAUAUCACAGAGGCGCUGCCAGUGAGCUUGCCACAAUAACUGCUCUGACUGGGACAUUAUCAUACGGACAAUAGUCUUUAUGUCUUCUGGCACCAGCACUCAACUCCCCCGAAUGUAGGCUAGCAUUUGCUUUGAUGGCUCCCCAUGCAGCCCGGUCUCAUUUACUGUUGCCCGUAAUUGUGCUAAUAUGUCCUAUCUAAGGGAAAAUGCUCACCCUGCAAGCCCUGCAAGCCUCCCGGACCCAGUUCAAACCGUACUGGGAAAGCUUGCCCUAUUAACCCCAGCGCCUCGAGGUCUUGGCCAGCAACGGCAUCUCGCGCAAUCGCCGACCAAUUAACACCUCGUACUGACGGCACUCGGGGAAUUCUCCCAUCGUCUCCUAACGAGCCAUGCCACGUUACUGCAGCGCUUCCCCCCCCCUACCGAUCUCAGCUAGGGGUUCCGGGCGGGGAACAGUUCCUGCUCGCGCCGGUGUUACUGGCGGCAGAAAGGAGGUUUUUUCAGGAACUGUAGCAACUUUAUGGGGGGUUUCUGCUGCGCCAUCUUCGUCCUCCUUCCCCCCUCCGAUGGAGGGCUCUGAGUCGGGAGGAGGAGGGGGCGCCAAUGGCACAGUCACCUCCUGCCACGGUUUCAUAAGUUUCUUUGCCGACCAAUCGUCAUCAAUAACCCUAUUCCAUAGGGGCUCACCGUACCGAUGCCACUCCUCCUCGUCAAAAUACGAGCUACAAUGCGGGAAAAAACCGCAGGCUUCCCCAAAGGAAACAAGUCCCGGUAUCGCUUUCAGCGUACCAUUAUCCAAGCCACGCUUUUGUAAAAAGCAAAUAAGUAAAACCCUGCACUACCUCCCUAUCCAUGGUGCACUGCAACUCCGCGUCCCGCCGCCGUCGCAAGCGCCCCCAACUACUGUGCUCCGGAGCUCCUUUUGGUAGAUGCCGCAGUGGUUUCCGAGCUAGGCACGUCUUAUUGCAGGAUCGCCGGACGCCCCGUUCGCUCGCACUUCACGUUCAUGCCGCUCUCGUGUCCCUGUUCGGGCGCCACUUGCCGCGGAUUUUCCAGGGAUUUAGAGCCGAACACUACACGGUGCGGGAAGCAUGACAAUCUCAAUAUGAGUACGCAAGCUUCAACUUUAAUGGAGUACUUCACAACAUAUAUAGAAACUGAGUUACACCUGGCAAACUGCCAUUGGUGGGGCUACCCCAGCCCCAUCCUCUGGUUGGUGAUUACAACUUGUUGAACAAACAAAGCCAAACAGCAACCACCCCCCCUGUGCCCAACAGUUAACCUCCUGAUACUUCUGUCCUUGGGCUCCGCCCCACCCAAGGACCCCUAGGCCCUGCCGACCGUCCACCCAGAACUACUCCAUACACACACUCUGCAGUACUUCCUUGCUCGUACAGUCGCUCAAGUGAUCUGUGGCCACCCUAAUCCUGCAACAAGUUAACUCAUAAUCCCUCACGUUCUUCAUUCAAGAGUGUUUAAAUAGUUUUGGUAAAAGUUCUCUAUGUAGGGAUUUCUUCCACUUUGUAUAUUCUAAUAAUAAUAUAUUAAAAAUGAGUUA